UACGUAGGGUGCGAGCGUUAAUCGGAAUUACUGGGCGUAAAGCGUGCGCAGGCGGUUCGUUGUGUCGGCGGUGAAAGCCCCGGGCUUAACCUGGGAAUGGCCGUUGAAACUGGCGAACUAGAAUCUGGCAGAGGGGGGUGGAAUUCCACGUGUAGCAGUGAAAUGCGUAGAGAUGUGGAGGAACACCGAUGGCGAAGGCAGCCCCCUGGGCUGAGAUUGACGCUCAGGCACGAAAGCGUGGGGAGCAAACAGGG
rnacentral:rRNA from 1 species